rnacentral:lncRNA from 1 species
UUUUCUCAUUACAUAAACGAUUGUUCUCAAUCUUCAAUUCAAUAUAGAGUUAUACAUUACAAUCAACAUCUCCAGCCUACAUCCUUCCAUUACAAUAGUGUUGCCUAACAAUUCUACUGAUCAGCUGAUUCACAGGUCCACAGUGGUAGCAGCAGCAGGAAAUUCCAUCAGUUGAGCAGCAGCAACAGGGGACUCAGCAACAAGGGACCCUAUCACACUUGAUAUUAUGAGGUUACCUUUUUGAGACCAGGUGGGUUGAUCGCGUUAGCUGCCAGUUUAUGCUAGUAUAACUACAAUGGCAUCAUCUUCUUAGAAUCCUGUGUCUGUGGAUCCAAGAUGCUGUCAAAAAAUGUUAUUUGCUUCUCAGAAGUGAUUUUUUCCUGUAAUCUCCAUUCCGAUCCCUUCCCCUGCCAAAAUGUUGUCAUCAAGUGGAAAGUCUUUUAACUUUCAAGUAUAAUGUGUUCUACAGU